rnacentral:misc_RNA from 1 species
GAGCAAGAGGGCCCGCAUAAGCCGCCGAAACAUACUGGAUCGCCCUAGACCGCCAAGUCCCCGGCCUUUCGGCCGACAACAGCUUCGGCGUCAUUGACACCAUGGUCGACGUGACGCUCACCAGAGGUCCCGGACAACGGCGCGGAGAUGACGGCCAAGAUCGUACGCAACUGGUUCGCAAAGCUGGGUGCGAAGACACUCUACAUUGCGCCCGGCAGCCCAUGGGAAAACGGCUACUGCGAGUCCUUCAACGGCCAACUGCGCGACCAAUGCCUGAACGGUGAAAUGGUGCAAGUUUGUCAAUACGUAUCGUCAUGAGAAUUCCUUUUCAUCUUUUUCUAUCCACACGUCGUCAGACGCAUCUUUCAAGUACUGGCACCCCGCACAG